CGUAACAAGGUUUCCGUAGGUGAACCUGCGGAAGGAUCAUUC
rnacentral:rRNA from 2 species